AGCAGCAGGCACGGAUAGAGACGGGGGCGAUGGGGGCGGUCGCCCCCCCUAGCAAACUCCGUCCGACAGGCAGACAAACUGUCUGUGAAGUCCUGCUCCCUCCUCCCUCCUCCCUUCCUCACUCAGCUGGCUGUCAGCUAUUGUCAGUGGCGCCGAGCCGAGCUCCCAGACGCAGCAUCUCACAGCAGGUGCCCUUCCUCCCCACUCACCCCUUUGGCCUGGACGGCAGUAAAUCAACAUAUUUUGUUGAUUGAGACUGCUUUCUUGUGGCAUCUAAACAGUGCUGAUAAGACGAGGUCAGGAAGUGGCUGUGUGCUGGGGGCGUGGCUACAGUUACAUGACAGGCCUGUGGGCUAAUAGAAACAGUAUAGUGUUGGGAGGGUAGAACCUGUUCUGUGUACACUGUACACAGGAAGAGGAAGCAUAAUGGAACUGUGCGUUCCAUUUCUUUCUGUCCUGUGUUCCACUUUACUUUGCUGCACAGAGUGAGAGCACACUGCAUUCCUGCACCCAGAGACCAGCCAGAGGGACUAUCCUGCCAGUCUGCCACAGGGACCAUCCUGCCAGUCAGUCACAGGGACCAUCCUGCCAGUCAGUCACAGGGACCAUCCUGCCAGUCAGUCACAGGGACCAGCCUGUUGCAGAGGGGCCAUACAACCGGGAAAGGUGGCUACAUGGAAACAUUGCUCUACAAUGCUAAGAAGCUUGGUAAAUCUCUAAUCCUUAUACUCAAAACGGUCUCCAAACAUGAUGGAACAGAUAAUAUUGGAGAAGGCAUCCAUAAUCAUCUUGGAUGGAUCCAAAGAAAGAACUGGAACAGAAAAAAAUAUUGAUCACUUAUUUAUAUUACAGUAUAUAAUCUCCUCUAAAUGACUGUUGACUUCAUUAAAUGUUAAGCAUUCAAUAAUGAAACAUUUUCAAAGUA